UCCCUGGUGGCUCAGACGGUAAAGCGUCUACCUGCAAUGUGGGAGACCCGGGUUCGAUUCCUGGGUCGGGAA
rnacentral:tRNA from 1 species